AUGCACAUGUAUCCCAGAACUUAAAGUAACAUUUUUUAAAAUUACAAGUUUGUAUACAUACCUGCCCUUGCUUUAAACCCUGUAAUGGUCUCAUCACCUUUUAAUUUAAACACCAAACCUUUCUGCAUGGGAUAAAAGUAUCUGCCUAAUAGAGACCAUGUGACUUCCCAGCCUCAUCGCCACUCUGCCCUGGCUAUGAAGAAACGACCCGGAACUUCAGUCAUGCACUCCUUGACCUCAUGCUCCCCCUGAAGCUGGUUGCACCCUGAUGUGGCUUUAGCCGCUCUUCUCUUUUCUAACUCCAGCUAUCUUUUCUGCAUGACCAAAACAUGUCUGCACAGUUGACCUGGUCCAUUAAACACAUUAUACAGAAAAAAACAUCAUGUAUUAACUACUCGCAAAAAAUGAAAGACCCUCAGUCAGAUGCCCAGAGAAGUUAA
rnacentral:lncRNA from 1 species